GGAAUGUUAAAACCGAGGAUGAAAUAUGCUUUGAAGUUAAAGUACUCAAUGGUCAUUAUAAUGACUCCAAGGUUUCCCCUCAUUUUUUAAAACCCACCUAUGAAAAUAACAGUACAUUACAGUGCCUAAUUGGAAAACAUUGUCAUUUAAAACUGUCAGCUGCAUCGGAAAGAGAUUGCCCAGAUUUGAAAUCUGACAAGAAUUUUGAUAAUGGCGUCUUCAUCAUUCCUCCUAUAAAUCAAUCAAGGUCCCCUUGCACAUAUGAUGUCGUAUUAAGAAAGGAGAAACCAGCGAGUAUCAAUGUCUGCUUUACUUUGAAAGGGAAUAGCAGUUCGCCUUCGAACAAAAGAUGCUACACAGUUCAAUUCUCUUCAUCUUUGAGUGUUAAGGGAUCGUGUAUAAAACAGUCCUGCUGCAAUGGUGGUCUUUGUGAUGGUCAUGCGCCUCAAAGGACAUGUCUAUGCCGCCUUGGGUUUUCCGGCAAAAGCUGUUCCUCAGAGUUUAGCAUACCUCAAGCAAGAAAUCAAAAUGGUUUAAAAUAU